ensembl:lncRNA
UGCCCAUAGAUUUUGUAAUGUUUGAGUCACUCAUAUCACAUGAAUACACAUUAGACAUGGAAAAAUGUAUACAAUUGCAAUAAAAUUUGCUUUAGAACUGCAAAAAUCACCAUCUGACAAAAUGUGUAGAAUUGCAGGAAAUACGCUUUAAGGGGGGUGGAGUCUGUUCCUAUGGGGACCAGGCUGAAAAGGCGGUGUGUGAGGGGGUGGAGUCUGUUCCUAUGGGGACCAGGCUGAAGAGGGGGUGGAGUCUGUUCCUAUGGGGACCAGGCUGAAGAGGGGGUGGAGUAUGUUCCUAUGGGGACCAGGCUGAAAAGGAGGUGUGUGAGUUGAUGGAGUAUGUUCCUAUGGGGACCAGGCUGAAAAGGUGGUGUAUGAGGGGGUGGAGUCUGUUUCUAUGGGGACCAGGCUGAAAAGGUGGUGUGUGAGGGGGUGGAGUCUGUUCCUAUGGGGACCAGGCUGAAAAG